UCGGGAAUAUUGCGCAAUGGAGGAAACUCUGACGCAGUGACGCCGCGUAUAGGACGAAGGUCUUCGGAUUGUAAACUAUUGUCGUUAGGGCAGAGAAAGGACAGUACCUAAGGAGGAAGCUCCGGCUAACUACGUGCCAGCAGCCGCGGUAAUACGUAGGGAGCAAGCGUUAUCCGGAUUUAUUGGGUGUAAAGGGUGCGUAGACGGGAAAAUAAGUUAGUUGUGAAAUCCCUCGGCUCAACUGAGGAACUGCAACUAAAACUGUUUUUCUUGAGUAUUGGAGAGGAAAGCGGAAUUCCUAGUGUAGCGGUGAAAUGCGUAGAUAUUAGGAGGAACACCAGUGGCGAAGGCGGCUUUCUGGACAAAAACUGACGCUGAGGCUCGAAAGCAUGGGUAGCGAACAGG
rnacentral:rRNA from 1 species